rnacentral:rRNA from 1 species
GACGAACGCUGGCGGCGUGCUUAACACAUGCAAGUCGAACGGAAAGGCCCUGCUUUUGUGGGGUGCUCGAGUGGCGAACGGGUGAGUAACACGUGAGUAACCUGCCCUUGACUUUGGGAUAACUUCAGGAAACUGGGGCUAAUACCGGAUAGGAGCUCCUGCUGCAUGGUGGGGGUUGGAAAGUUUCGGCGGUUGGGGAUGGACGCGCGGCUUAUCAGCUUGUUGGUGGGGUAGUGGCUUACCAAGGCUUUGACGGGUAGCCGGCCUGAGAGGGUGACCGGCCACAUUGGGACUGAGAUACGGCCCAGACUCCUACGGGAGGCAGCAGUGGGGAAUAUUGCACAAUGGGCGGAAGCAUGAUGCAGCAACGCCGCGUGCGGGAUGACGGCCUUCGGGUUGUAAACCGCUUUCGCCUGUGACGAAGCGUGAGUGACGGUAAUGGGUAAAGAAGCACCGGCUAACUACGU